rnacentral:misc_RNA from 1 species
GUGAAUCAUCAAAUUUUUGAACGCAAAUUGCACUCUCCGGUUUUCCGAGAGAUAAUGCCUUUUUGAGAUUCGUCCUAUAAAAAAUCGACUUCUUGGCUGCUUUGCGGUUGCAUUCGUCGGUAAUUGGGUCAUCUUAGAUCUUUUGGUUUUAAGUGACUUAAAAUUUUUUUUUUUGUUCCAUGAACUUAUCUAAUAUUUAUUUCUUUACACGUUGUAUGUAUCGGU